rnacentral:pre_miRNA from 1 species
AGUUGCAGUAGGGAGUUAGGGGAAUGGGAGGAUUGGGAAAAACAUGCACCCCAAGUGUUCGUGAAUAUUACACAAGGAACACAAAAAAGGACUUCUUCCCAAACCUCCCAUUCCUAUUAUUUCCUACAGUUGCUCU